rfam:Capsella rubella cultivar Monte Gargano unplaced genomic scaffold scaffold_5, whole genome shotgun sequence.
GGAUGCGAUCAUUCCAGCACUAAUGAACCGGAUCCCAUCAUAACUCCGCAGUUAAGCGUACUUGCGAGAGUAGUACUAAGAUGGGUGACUUCCCGGGAAGUCCUCGUGUUGCAUCCC